rnacentral:lncRNA from 1 species
CAGUGGUGUGACUAGUCCUUUGACCUAUGGUGUGUUGGCUAUUCACAGCGAGGCUACUUAGUUUGACUGUACAUUCUCUUGGUCCCUAGCGAUUUGAAUUUUUACUGUGUAUGUUGGCUAUUGUAGGUUCAGGUUCACUGUUUAAAAUAGGAUGCACCUAGAUGGAAUCUAUUGAUCUUGAUAGAAAAAGAGAAGUCCUAUAUAAUUUACAAGACUGAGUUCAAAAAAUCUCUGGUCAGAGUAAGAGCAAAUACUAAAAAAGAGUUUUUACGAGAUUCACAGAUGAACUCGAGUCGAGCCAAUCUAGCAUAUGACUGACGAUGGAAUUUGAUGAGUUCUCCAUGACC